UGCCCAGCAACUCCUAUCCCUACCUCCUCGCGGUACUGGCCGAUGUACGAGUAACCUUAGGGAAGAUCGGGUAACCAACCCCCGGUGGGAACUUUGGUCGUAUGCUGACAGGGAAGG
rnacentral:ribozyme from 1 species